AUAUUACAGCUUCACUGUCAUCAUCAAACUCAUUCCCCAAUCUUUUUCUCUUCUUUUGAAUUUCUUUAGCUGCUUUUUUGCUGAUAGUCUUUCAACUUCUGAGUUUUCUAAAAUCACAACUUUUGGAGAUGACGGGGAAAUAUUUUUCAAACGUUCUUUGAGAACUUUUUUUUUUUUUUUAUAGCAAAAUCAGCAUUCCGCUUCAGCAAGUACUCAAUAGCUUCCAACAAUGCUAUAAAGAAAGUUGGUUUUACAAAGUUCUUUUUACAUCUCCGUCGCACUUUGUAUCCAUUAAAUUGAACGCAAAUGAAUCAGUUACUAAUAAUAUAAACC
rnacentral:lncRNA from 1 species